rnacentral:sRNA from 1 species
UAACUGAGGACAAUGAGAAGAC